rnacentral:lncRNA from 1 species
UUUUUUGGAGGCUUUUUUGGUCUGAUUUGUGAGAUUGAUAUUGUCCUUAAUGAUAAGGAAACAAAGAAAAUGGCAGAAGUGAAAACUGAAAAUGGCGAAGUAGAAAAACACCAUCUCCUCUAUGAUGGAGAAUCUGUUUCAGGAAAGGUGAAAGAGUCUAGAAAGAGCUAGAGCACCACAACAUUAGAAUUGAAUUUGUACGUCAAAUUGAACUUUUCUAUGAUAAGAGUAAUAUUCAAGAGUUUGUAAACCUAGUGAAAGAACUAGCCUUACCUGGAGAGCUGACUCAGAAGUUGUCAUUUGGAAUUUAUACAUGUUGAAAAGUCAUGAGAAUCUUACAUUGGUGCUAAUGUCCUCUUGAUGUAUUGAAGUGUUAGUAGUAAGAAGACUGACAGACUUGGUAAAAAGAAUGUGAUCUUACUGUUCACCAACUUGCCAGCUAUCCUGAUGGAAGUGGGCAUUGAAGAUUGUCUACAUAUAGAAUUUGAAUAUAAUGAAGUAUCAUUUAAAGGAUGUGACUGUUACAAAAAUUUACCUCUUAUAAGUAAGAAUAAAAACACAACAUAUGGGGUUACAACUGAUCAAUAAGACUGUUGUUAGCAGGAUAUGACCUAACUCCAACAAUGAAAGUUAUGAACAAAAAAGUUUCAGUAAGGUACUUUUUGAAUUUAGCGCCUGUUGAUGAGGAAGACAGAGGGUACUUUAGGCAGCAGAUCAUUUAAUGGAGAAAAGCUCCUGAAAAACUGAGGAAACAG